rnacentral:lncRNA from 1 species
CUAAUAUUUGCAUCUCUUCCCACUUUCAUGUUAUGUAACAUCACAGCAGCAGCGUAAGAUUGGCGUUGUCCGAUUUUACCAUGAAAAUCAGCAAACAUUGCACAUUAGGGAUUGUUUCUCCCUUCUCUCUCUCGGAGAGAGAGAUGCUAAAUAUUUAAAAGCCCACCACUGGGUAAGUCUGCAUGUAGCUUAUAAAUCUGAAUGUAACUGAUGUACCUACAAAGUAAAAAAUAGGAACAGGCAUAUCCACAAUUUUAGUUAAGAUUUUAACAGACAUAUCUCAUAAAACUGACUGAACAAAUAGUCAGAAAUCUGUCAAAAAUAGGUAAGGAAACUGGGAAACAGAAUUAGUGACCUAACCAGUUUUGGGUACAAAACUGAUGAAUGGGAGGUUUUGAACUGAAAUAAAGUUUCUGCCUCAAAGUCCAAUACCCCUUCUGCUAUGGUUUUGUGUUAUAGGAAGGAUUUGUGAUAUUUACCUUAUAAUGACCAUUGCAAUUUCUGUAUUAAUAUAUAAACGUGAAUAGACAAGCAAAACAUUUAAUUAUAUAUAGCCAAGUUCCACUUCAUUUUUAGAGGGCUUUCGUAUUUAAUAUGUAUUUACCAAAACAUUAUGGGGAUGCCAUGGCUUUAGAACAGAUGAAUGCUUUUAUCAAGGGAUUCACCAUAACCUCCUUUGGUGAUAACUGUCUUGGACCUCGUCGUGGAGUUAUUACUGUCAGGGAGCAACUUUAAAGCUGCUGCUGCUGCUGCUGACGGCAUUAACAGCAGCUGCUGUUUACGGAGUGCUUUCUUAGCGCCAGGCGCAGUUUUAAGUGCUCUCUCGUGUUAAUGCCCUGAAUCCACUCAGAGGCCAAGUGAGGCAGGGUGAUGUUAAUGUGACGUGUUGAUUUGACUGGUCACAGGCUGACCAAGUUGAAAUUUAUUUCUGGAGGUGUCUGUUCGGGUGUUUCUGGAUGGGAUAAGCAUUUAAACCAGUGAACUCAAUAAAGUAAAUUGCCCUCUCCAAGUUGGUGGGCUAGUACCAAAGGCAGAGGAAGGAGGAAUUUCCACCGUUUCACUUUCUGUCUGCAUGCUUCAGCUGGGACAUCUCAUCUUGUCUAGCCCCCAGACAGGGUUUUUAAACCAUUAGCACCCCCCCCCCCCAUUCUCAGCCCUUCAGACUCAGUUGAAUAGACCACUGGCUCUCCUGGGUUUCCAGCCCGCAGGGUGUGGAGCGCAUCAGCUUCCAUGAUCAUGUGAGCCAAUUUAUCAUCAUAAAUCACCACAUAAUAUGUAUAAUGUAGAUGUUAUUAAUAUAUUAAUUUUAAUAUAAUCUUAGUAUUUUAUGAUUUAAAAUUAGAUAUGUAUUUAAAAGUUUUAUAUGUAAUAGAAUAUAAUAGUAUGUAAAAUCUCUUGGUGGCUAUUUUAUUUUGGUUUUGCUUUAUAAUUUUUUUUGUUUUAUAUUAGGAGGCUGCUGUUUAUUUUAAUUGAAGUAUAGUUGAAUGUUAAUUUCUGGAGAACAGCAAAGUGACCCAGUUAUGCAUAUAUACAUUCUUUUUUAAAAUGUGUUUUCCAUUAUGGUUUAUCAUGGGACAGUGAAUAUACACUGUGCUAUACAGCAGGACCUGUUUAUCUGUUCUGUAUAUAAUAGUUUACAUCCACUAAUGCCAACCUCCCACUCCAUCCCUCCCCCAACCACCUCCCUGUUGGCAACCACAACUCUGUUCUUUAUGUCCCUGAAUCUGUUUGGGUUCUUUAGAUAGGUUUCUUUGUGUCAUAUUUCAGAUUCCACAUGUAAGUGAUAUCAUAUGUAUUUGUCUUUCUCUUUCUGACUUCACUUAGUAAUUCUAGUUGCUUCCAUGUUGCUGCAGAUGGCAUUAUUUUGUUCUUUAUUAUGGCUGAGUAGUAUUCCAUUUUAUUUAUGUACCAUGCCGUCUUGAUGUGUUCAUCUGUCCAUGGACAUUUAGGUUGUUUCCGUGUCUUGACUGUUCUGAAUAGUGCUGCUGUGAACACAGGGGUGCGUGGAUCCUUUUGAAUUAUAGUUUUGUCUGGACAUAUGCCCAGGAGCAGAACUGCUGGAUCAUAUGACAACUCCCUUUUUAGCUUUUUAGGGACAUCCAUAGUGGCUGCACCAACGCACAUUCCCACCACCAGUGUAAGAGGGUUCCCUUUUCUCCACAUCCUCUCCAGCACUGGUUAUUUGUAGACUUUUUGGUGAUGGCCAUUCUGACUGGUGUGAGGUGGAACCUCAUUGUGGUUUUGAUAUGCAGUUCUGUAAUAAUAAGUGAUGGAAAGCAUUUUUUUCAUGUAUCUGUUGGCCAUCUAUAUGUCUUCUUUGGAGAAAUGUCUGUUUAGGUCUUCUGCCCAUUUUUCAAUUGGCUUGUUUUGCUGUUGAGCUCUGUGAGCUGUUUGUAUAUUUUGGAGAGAAGGCCGUUUUGGGUCACAUCGUUUGCAAAUAUUCUCUCCCAUUGCAUAGGUUUUCUUUUUUUUUAUGGUUUGUUUUGCUGUGCAAAAGCUUGUAAGUUUGAAUAGGUCCCAUUUGUUUAUUUUUAAUUUUUUUUAAUUUAGUUUUGUCUUUUUCUAGGGUGGCACCUAUGGCAUAUGGAAGUUCCCAAGCUAGAGGUCAAAUCAGAGCUGUAGCCGAUGGCCUACACCACAGCCACAGCAACACGGGAUCUGAGCCACAUCUGUGACCUACACCACAGCUCAAAGCAAUGCCAGAUGCUCAACCCACUGAGCAAGGCCAGGAAUCGAACCUGCAUCCUCAUGGGUGCUAGUCAGAUUCGUUUCCCCAAGCCACAGUGGGGACUCCCUAUUUCUGUUUUUAUUUCUAUUGUCUUGGGAAAUGGACCUAAGAAUGAUUAGGUCAAGAAUGAUCAGUAUGAUUUAUGUCAGAGAAUGUUAUGCCUGUGAUCUCUUCUUGGAAUUUUAUGGUUAAGUCUUAUGUUUAAGUCUUUAAGGCAUUUCGAGUUUAUCUUUGUGCAUAGUGUGAGGGUGUGUUCUAACUUUAUUGAUUUACGUGUGGCUGUCCAACUUUCCAAGCACUACUUGCUGAAGAGACUGUCUUUUUUUUCCAUUAUAUAUUCUUUCCUUUUUUGUCAAAGAUAAAUUGACCACAGGUGUGUGGGUGUAUUUCUGGACUCUCUAUUCUGUUUCCUUGAUUUGUAUAUCUGUUUUGGUACCAAUGCCACACUAUUUUGAUUACUAUAGCUUUUGUAGUAUUAUCUGAGGUCUCGGAGGGUUAUUCCUCGUGCUUUUUUUCUUCCUAAUUGCUUUGGCAAUUUUGAGUCUUUUAUGGGUCCAUAUAAAUUAUUGGAUUAUUUGUUCUAGGUGUGUGAAAAAUGUCAUGGGUAAUUUGAUAGGGAACACAUUAAAUCUGUAGAUUGCUUCAGACAGUAUCGUCCUUAUAACGGUAUUCACACAAUCCAAGAGCAUGGGAUAUCUUUUCAUUUCUUUAUUUAUAUCCUCUUUAAUUUCCUUUAUUAAUGUUCUAUAGUUCUCAGUGUAUAAGUCUUUCACCUUCUUGGUCAGAUUUAUUCUUAAGUAUUUCAUUUUUUUAAGAAAAAAGAUAAUGUGAUUUUAAAAGGUAUUUUUUUAUAUUCCCUUUCUGACAUGUCAUUAUUAAAGAAAUGCAACCUAUUUCUGAAUGUUAAUCUUGUAUUCUGUAAUUUUGCUGAAUUAAUCAGUACCAGUAGUUUUUGUACAGAGUUCUUAGGGUGUUCUGUAUAUACUGUCAUCUUAUCUACAUAUAGUGACAGUUUUACCUCUUCUCUUCCAAUUUGGAUACACUUUAUUUCUUUUUCUUGUUAAAUUGCUGUGGCUAGGACUUCCAGUACUAUGUUGAAGAGAAGUGGUGAGAGGGAGCAUCCUUGUCUUAUUCCAGAUAUUAGCAGGAAGGCUUUCAUCUUGUCACCAUUGGGUAUUUUAUUGGAUGUGGCUUUGUCAUAACUAGUUUUUAUUAUGUUGAGAUAUGUUCCUUCUGUGCCCACCUUCAUAGGGUUUUUGUCAUGAGUGGAUGUUGAAUUUUAUCAAAUGUUUUUUUCUGUAUCUAUUGCAAUGAUUGUGUGGUUUUUAUCUUUUCUUUUUGUUAAUGUUUAUCCUGUUGAUUGACCUGCAUAUGUUGAACCCUCCUGUGACCUCAGAUGGAUCCAAUUUGGUCAUGGUGUAUGAUCUUUAUGUGUUGUCGGAUUUGGUUAAACUUUUGUUGAGAAUUUUUGCAUCUGUAUUCAUCAAAGAUACUGGCCUGUAAUUUUCUUUUUUGUUUGUAUCUAUUUCUGGUUUUAGUAUUAGGGUGAUGGUGUGUUCAUAGAAUACCAUUGGUAAUGUUCCCUAUUCUUCAAAUUUUGGAAGAGUUUGAGAAGGAUCAGUAUAAAUUCUUUUUGUGUUUAGUUGAAUUCACCUGUGAAGCUCUCUGGUCUUGGAUUUUUUUUUUUUUUUUUUUUUUUUUUUUUUUUNUGUAGGAAGUUUUUUCUUUUUUACAGAUUCUGUUUCACUUCUAGUGGUUGAUCUGUUUCAGUGACCUGUUUCUUGAUUCAGUUUUGGUGGGUUGUUUGUUUCUAGAAAUUUUUUGCUAAUCUCUAUUUCAUUUGUUUCCUAUUUGAUUUUUCUUAUUUCCUUCCUCCUGAGUUAGAUUCUAUAUGUUUUUCUUUUUUUACUUUUCUUAAUCUAUUUUAUUGCUUUCCUCUCUGAUCUUUAUGAUUUCCUUCCUUCUUCUGACUUCAGGCCUUGUUUUUCUUUUCUGCUUCUUUUGGUGUUAGGUUAUGUUAUGGAUUUAAGAUAUUUCUUCUCUGUCUGAGGAAGGCCUGUAUCGCCAUGAACUUCCCUCUAAGGAUUGCUUUUGUGGCAUCCCAUAGUUUUUUAAAUUUUUAUUUAUUUAUUUAUUUAUUUUGUCUAUUAGAGCCACACUCAGGGCAUAUGGAAGUUCCCAGGCUAAGGGUUGAAUUGGAGCUGCAGCUGCCAGCCUACACCACAGCCAUAGCAAGGAGGGAUCCGAGCUGUGUCUGUGGCCUACACCACAGGUCAUAGCAGUGCUGGAUCCUUUACUCCACUGAGCAAGGCCAUGUCCUCAUGGAUACUAGUGGGAUUCUUAACCUGCUGAGCCACAACAAAAACUCCAGUGGCAUUCCAUAGAUUUUGAGUGGUUGUUUUCAUUGUCAUUUGUCUCAAGGUAUUUUUAAUUUCCUUUUUUAUUUCCUUGUUGGCCCAUUGGCUUUUUAGUAGCAUGUUGUUUCGUUUUCAUGUAAUUGUUUUUUUCUUCUCGUUUCUUUUACUGUGAUUGAUUUCUAGUUUCAUGCCAUUAUGUUCAGAAAAGAUGCUUGAAAUAAUUUCUGUACUCCUAAAUUUGUUAAGGACUGUUUUGUGCCCCACUGUGUCAUCAGUCCUGGAGAAUGUUCAGUGGGCAUUUGAAAAGAAUGUGUAUUCUGGUUUUGUGUGUGUGUGAUGUUCUGAAAAUAUCAAUUAGGUCUAACUGUACUGUUGUAUCAUUUAGGAUCUCUGUUGCAUAAUUGAUUUUCUGUCUCGAAGAUGUACCCGUUGAUGUGAGUAGGAUGUUGAAGUCUCCUACUAUUGUCAUAUCACCAUUGUUUCUCUCUUCUUUUCUAUUAGUGUUUAUGUAUUUGGGUGCUUCUAUAUUAGGUGCAUAUAUGUUGAUGAGUAAAUAUCCUCUCGUAUUGAUCCUUUUAUCACUAUGUAGUGUCCUUCGUCUCUCUUUAUGGCCUUUGUUUUAAAAUAUGUUUUGUAUGGCAUGCUCAUUGUGACUUAGCAGUUUACAAACCCAACUAGUAUCUAUGAGGAUGCAGGUUCCAUCCUUGGCCUCAUUCAGUGAGUUAAGGAUCAGGUGUUGCUAUGACCUGUGGUGAAGUUCGCAGACGCAGCUUGGAUCUUGUGUUGCUGUGGCAUGGCGUAGGCCUGUGGCUGCAG